AAGAAAUCACUUCUUGUGGGUAGUGAGACCUUUGGACAGAAAAGCGAUAUGGUAAAACGGUUUGUCAACUGCUUUGAAAAUUAGGAAGGCCACAAAUACGAAAGCACGUGUAGACAUGGCCUCUGUCCUUUGAGGAAUGCCACAUCCUUACCUGGGUCCCUGUUGUACUGGUGGAGCUGUCGACACUCACGGCAUCCUGACACGGGCUGCUGGAGUUAAUGCCACAAAGGUAGAUGGACACAGC